GUCUAAAUAGCUCAAGGGUAGAGCAUUGGAUUGAAAAUUCUUGAGUUAUGAGUUCGAAUCUCAUUUUAGACA
rnacentral:tRNA from 1 species